rnacentral:rRNA from 1 species
UUUUAAUUAAAGAAUAAUUAAUAAAAAAGUAAAUGUAAAACAUUAAAUUUAAAUAGUUUGGCGGUAUUUUAAAUAGUUAGAGGAAUUUGUUAAGUAAAUGAUAUUCCACGAAUGGAGUGUCCUAAAAAAGUUUUUAUGUAUUGUUGUAUAAAAAUUAUUUUAUAAGAAUGAUAUAAUUAAGAUAUUUAAUUUAGUUUGAAUUCAAAUCAAAAUGUAGAAUAAUUAGGUUUAAAUGAAUUACAGUUUAUUAUAAUAAUAGAUUUAUUUUUUAAAGUAAAAUAAAUAGAUAGGAUUUAAAAGUAAAUUUAAAAAAAUAUUUAAGUUGAAA